rnacentral:rRNA from 1 species
CGAAGGAUCCAAGCGUUGUCCGGAUUUACUGGGUUUAAAGGGUGCGUAGGCGGACUUUUAGGUCAGUGGUGAAAGCCUGUAGCUUAACUAUAGAAUUGCCAUUGAAACUGAAAGUCUCGAGUGUGGUUGAGGUAACUGGAAUAUAUCAUGUAGCGGUGAAAUGCUUAGAUAUGAUAUAGAACACCAAUUGCGAAGGCAGGUUACUGAGCCAUUACUGACGCUGAGGCACGAAAGCGUGGGGAUCAAACAGGAUUAGAUACCCUGGUAGUCCACGCCGUAAACGUUGCAUACUCGAUCUUAGCGAUACACAGUUAGGAUCCAAGCGAAAGCGUUAAGUAUGCCACCUGGGAAGUACGUUCGCAAGAAUG